rnacentral:lncRNA from 1 species
GACACCCCUGAGGCUGGGGAGCCAUGACCCUGCCCCUUUAAGGACCCUGCUCCGAACUGAAACAGUAACACACAUCCAUGAGCUAGGACAGGGAAGAGAAUGACAAGGACUCUAAACCACCCAGCAGUGAAAUUUCCAAUGGAAAUAAGACCCACUGGGCCCCUCUGUGUUGGGGGUGGAGUGGGGGAGGGCAGCACUCCUGGAGACUCAGAUCGGUUUUCAGGUUGUUUGCCCCAGCACUAAGCCGAGAAGUGAGCAAGGAGGGUUUGAAGCUUCAAGUCCACACCCAAGGUCUGCUCAGUGGGAAAUCCUUCAUCCCUGAACCCACCAGCAAUUCCAGACCCAGGGGUGAAGGGAGGUGCAGGUUUGGCCAAGGCAUCCCCAGGGACAAGCACGGAUGACAGCAGAUGCUGCUGUCUCUUGGGGCCUGCACCUCGGCAGAGGCUGAUUCCAGCUUGCAGUUCUCCGCCACUUGCAGGUUGCCCUGGAGUUUGCAGUAUGCAUUUACAACUAAUCCAAGUCCACUUUGAAAUAAUUCUAUACUGCUUCAAGGUCAUGGAGGACAUUCAGGACUUGAGCACUUACCAAAUCACCUUUGAAGUGGAGCCCUGUGUGUGCUGAGACCACUAGGACCCUGGAACGGGUGCCCGUCAC